UGGGGGAUAUUGCACAAUGGGCGAAAGCCUGAUGCAGCGACGCCGCGUGGGGGAUGAAGGCCUUCGGGUUGUAAACUUCUUUUGCUCUGAACAAGGCAUGCCUUUGGGGUGUGUUGAGUGUAGGGGUUGAUUAGCGCCGGCUAACUACGUGCCAGCAGCCGCGGUAAUACGUAGGGCGCGAGCGUUGUCCGGAAUUAUUGGGCGUAAAGGGCUUGUAGGUGGCUGGUUGCGUCUGUCGUGAAAGCUCAUGGCUUAACUGUGGGUUUGCGGUGGGUACGGGCUGGCUUGAGUGCAGUAGGGGAGGCUGGAAUUCCAGGUGUAGCGGUGAGAUGCGCAGAUAUCAGGAGGAAUACCGGUGGAGAAGGCGGGUCUCUGGGCUGUUACUGACGCUGAGGAGCGAAAGCGUGGGGAGCGAACAGG
rnacentral:rRNA from 1 species